CGGCUGGUGCACAAGUAGAGCUAUGAUGAACAAAUUAGUGAUGUUUGGUAACCUCACCAGUCAACCUUCGUUUGGAUGAAGUGUAAACUCCCUGAGCUCUAUUUUAAUUUUAAAUUGUCAUUUACCAGUCUCAAAAGCAUAAUAUUAUUUUCACCAUAGUUUGAAUUAAAUUUUUCUUUUUUUGUUUGUUUUUGAAUUAGUUUGUUUAAACCACGACCAUUUUA
rnacentral:lncRNA from 1 species